rnacentral:tRNA from 1 species
AGGUCUGUGGCCGAGUGGUUUUAAGCAGCGGUCUUGAAAACCGCCGUAGUGUGAGCCUACGUGAGUUCGAUCUCACGACCCG